GGCGUGCUUAACACAUGCAAGUCGAACGGUGACGACGGGGCUUGCCCUGUCUGAUCAGUGGCGAACGGGUGAGUAACACGUGAGUAACCUGCCCUUGACUCUGGGAUAACCGCGGGAAACGGCGGCUAAUACCGGAUAUGAGACGUACAGGCAUCUGUUGCGUCUGGAAAGAUUUAUCGGUCAAGGAUGGGCUCGCGGCCUAUCAGCUUGUUGGUGGGGUGAUGGCCUACCAAGGCGACGACGGGUAGCCGGCCUGAGAGGGCGACCGGCCACACUGGGACUGAGACACGGCCCAGACUCCUACGGGAGGCAGCAGUGGGGAAUAUUGCACAAUGGGCGCAAGCCUGAUGCAGCGACGCCGCGUGAGGGAUGAAGGCCUUCGGGUUGUAAACCUCUUUCAGCAGGGAAGAAGCGAAAGUGACGGUACCUGCAGAAGAAGCGCCGGCUAACUACGUGCCAGCAGCCGCGGUAAUACGUAGGGCGCAAGCGUUGUCCGGAAUUAUUGGGCGUAAAGAGCUCGUAGGCGGUUUGUCGCGUCUGCUGUGAAAACCUGAGGCUCAACCUCGGGCUUGCAGUGGGUACGGGCAGACUAGAGUGCGGUAGGGGUGACUGGAAUUCCUGGUGUAGCGGUGGAAUGCGCAGAUAUCAGGAGGAACACCGAUGGCGAAGGCAGGUCACUGGGCCGCAACUGACGCUGAGGAGCGAAAGCAUGGGGAGCGAACAGGAUUAGAUACCCUGGUAGUCCAUGCCGUAAACGUUGGGCACUAGGUGUGGGGCUCAUUCCACGAGUUCCGUGCCGCAGCAAACGCAUUAAGUGCCCCGCCUGGGGAGUACGGCCGCAAGGCUAAAACUCAAAGAAAUUGACGGGGGCCCGCACAAGCGGCGGAGCAUGCGGAUUAAUUCGAUGCAACGCGAAGAACCUUACCAAGGCUUGACAUACACCGGAAAAGUGCAGAGA
rnacentral:rRNA from 1 species